UACGAAGGGGGCUAGCGUUGCUCGGAAUCACUGGGCGUAAAGCGCACGUAGGCGGAUUGCUAAGUCAGGGGUGAAAUCCUGGAGCUCAACUCCAGAACUGCCUUUGAUACUGGCGAUCUCGAGUCCGGGAGAGGUGAGUGGAACUGCGAGUGUAGAGGUGAAAUUCGUAGAUAUUCGCAAGAACACCAGUGGCGAAGGCGGCCAACUGGACGAAUACUGACGCUGAGACUCGAAAGCGUGGGGAGCAAACAGG
rnacentral:rRNA from 1 species